rnacentral:miRNA from 1 species
AAACCUGAACGAAAUUUUUGGC